AAAGCUCAUCCUGGAGUUGCUAUCAUAACAACAGGUUCAUAAAUUCAAACCUGCUCGGGAGCAGGCUUAUUUCAUGUAAACAAGAUUAGAUUGCAUCUUUUUAAGCAGAGGGGAUACUGAAAGUCUGACCCUGCCACUGCUACUUUCUUACAAGAGCACCCUAUUGAACCAGAAAAAUUAUUUUGAAA